UGCCUGCAAAUUCAGGGAGCCCUUCUGAGUCUUAACGAGGGCUUGAAUAUACUUUCAGAGAAAUGCCAGCAAAAACUGUAGUCAUUUGGGGAAGAAUAAGUCUGGAAGAAAAAUACACAGAGGACUAGCACCAAGAGGGUGAAUAAGAUGUGUGCCCAACACCACCCAGCCAACAAGGAACAAAGCCAGGAUUUAAAUUUAGACAGUUGCAGCUCAGAGCCUACAUUCUUUCUCCUCACCCUGAGGGGAAGCGGGAGAAGGAGUGUUUGUGUUUGGGUGGGGGGUGGGAUUUGAACAUAGAUAGAUAUAUAUUAUCUUAUAUCCAAGAUCAAUCUGUCUCUUCUUCCUCUGCCUUCUACGACAUCCUUACUCAUCUACUCAAGGACUUUAUAACUGCUGUGUCACAAAUCACCUCAAAACUUGGUGGCUUAAGACAACAAUCAUACAGCAUUGCUCACAACUCUAAAGCAGUGAGAGAUUUUAGACAUGAACAGAGCUCCACUGGACUUGAAUUGCUUUGAUAAAUCUCAGCUCAUGAUGGUGACAAUCCUGAGGAUAUAGGAAAGUCAUUUCCCCUGCAGGAAGAAAAAAAAUAUCCUAUAGGAGAGAUGAGUAUGCCAAGAAGCCAAAAAAGGUAAGAAAAUAAUAUCUAUUCAUUCACUCAGUCAACAAACAUAUGAAGUACCUACUAUGAAAAGCAUGGCACUAGGAUCGAGAAUCUUACAUUAGUCUGUACCCUCAAGAGUUUAAUGACAAUUCAGGGAUAAAAUGGAAUGUAAUGAGGGUUAGAACACGUCCCUCCAGAAGGCACGCAAGGGGUAUAUAUGGCAGGGAUUCGGACAGACCUCCCGGAGAAGAUGCUGUCUGGAUGGGAUGCAGGGGGACGAAAUACUGCAGGUAUUCAUUAUGGCUAGAGUGUCAGUGUGGGAAAGCAUG